GCCAAACAGAAGUUCUACACAAGUUGUCCGAAGUGAUGGCCCCCUCCGGCACAGCUCAGCCAGAGUAUGCACCACCUGCCAAGACACAUCAUCCAAAGUGAGCUCCAAACCGUCCAAGUCCCCGUCAGCUCCGACAUACCCUUUGACGUUUGUGACUCCAGUUCUAUUCAGACAGCCGCCAUGACAGACCUGACGAUGCUAAGAUACAGAAGGUGAUUUUCAUGAACAGAUGACAGAGGUGGUGAACUGGAGGGUGGCACAGUACAGCCAAUAGCAGCUCAGUUCCUGUUUUCAGACAAUAGGAAACCCCGCCCAUUGAGUAAUGACAUCACCUUUGCUCCACCCCUACACCAC